rnacentral:rRNA from 1 species
GACGAACGCUGGCGGCGUGCUUAACACAUGCCAGUCGAACGAUGAACCUCGAACUGAUUUCUUCGGAAAGAUUUUUGAGAGGAUUAGUGGCGAACGGGUGAGUAACGCGUGAGCAACCUGCCUUAGACAAGGGGAUAGCCUCGGGAAACCGUGAUUAAUACCCUAUGAGACUCCACUUACGAGUGUAAGAGAAGUUAAAGCUAUUGCGGUCUAAGAUGGGCUCGCGUCUGAUUAGCUAGUUGGUGAGAUAAAAGCCCACCAAGGCGACGAUCAGUAACCGGCUUGAGAGAGUGAACGGUCACAUUGGAACUGAGACACGGUCCAAACUCCUACGGGAGGCAGCAGUGGGGAAUAUUGCACAAGGGGGGCAACCCUGAUGCAGCGACGCCGCGUGAGCGAUGAAGGAAUUCGUUUCGUAAAGCUCUGUCCUUGGAGAAGAUAAUGACGGUAACCAAGGAGGAAGCACCGGCUAAAUACGUG